rnacentral:rRNA from 1 species
AUUGAACGCUGGCGGCAUGCCUUACACAUGCAAGUCGAACGGCAGCACGGGAGCAAUCCUGGUGGCGAGUGGCGAACGGGUGAGUAAUAUAUCGGAACGUGCCCAGUCGUGGGGGAUAACGUAGCGAAAGCUACGCUAAUACCGCAUACGAUCUAUGGAUGAAAGCGGGGGAUCGCAAGACCUCGCGCGAUUGGAGCGGCCGAUAUCAGAUUAGGUAGUUGGUGGGGUAAAAGCCUACCAAGCCUUCGAUCUGUAGCUGGUCUGAGAGGACGACCAGCCACACUGGAACUGAGACACGGUCCAGACUCCUACGGGAGGCAGCAGUGGGGAAUUUUGGACAAUGGGCGCAAGCCUGAUCCAGCAAUGCCGCGUGCAGGAUGAAGGCCUCCGGGUGUAAACUGCUUUUGUACGGAACGAAACGGUUCUUUUAAUUAAAGAGAGCUAAUGACGGUACCGUAAGAAUAAGCACCGGC